rnacentral:rRNA from 1 species
AGCUCCAAUAGCGUAUAUUAAAGUUGUUGCAGUUAAAAAGCUCGUAGUUGAAUUUCGGAGGAGAGUGUCUGGUCUUGGCUUUGCCUUGUACUAGACGACUCGAAUCUUUUUUCUGGGGAAGCAAGGUGUCCUUCACUGGGCGCUUUGGGGAACCAGGACGAUUACCUUGAGAAAAAUAGAGUGUUCAAAGCAGGCUUUUGCUUGAAUACGUUAGCAUGGAAUAAUAAAAUAGGACUUUGGUUCUAUUUUGUUGGUUUUAAGGACCAAUGUCAUGAUGAAUAGGGACAGUUGGGGGCAUUCGUAUUCCAAAGCUAGAGGUGAAAUUCUUGGAUUUUUGGAAGACGAACUACUGCGAAAGCAUUUGCCAAGGAUGUUUUCA